CUGCAAUUUUUGUUUUGUAGACCAGAAUUUCUAGGCUAAUAUGAAAAGACCCUCUCUCCAAAAAGAUUCAAUUAAAGAGAAUAAUCCUAGGCCAAGGACAUGUUUUCAGGUUGUCCCUCUCUUGUUGAUGUUACAAUACCUGACAUUUACUCUAAUAUCUAU